UCAUCUAUAUGAAAAAGUGCAUCUGCUGUUGUCUCUCACAGAUUAGUUUAGAUCUGUUUAAACGCUGCUUGAUCUGUGCAGAUUUCUCUCCUGAUUCAGACCAGAACACUUUUUCACUGGAGGAAGUGUUAUUAUGAUUAUAGACUCUAUGUGUUUGAGUUAAAAUCAUCUUAAUGCUGGAUGUGUUUCAGGUUUUGUCUUCUCCAGAUGUUCACUGAUGGACUGGAGUGCUGUGGAUUAUUGUGAUGUUUUUAUCAGACUCUCAUUCUGACGGCACCCAUUCACUUCAGAGCAUCCAAUGAUGAGACACUGAU